GACGAACGCUGGCGGCGUGCUUAACACAUGCAAGUCGAACGAUGAAGCCUAGCUUGCUAGGUGGAUUAGUGGCGAACGGGUGAGUAAUACGUGAGUGACCUACCUUUGACUCUGGGAUAAGCCUGGGAAACUGGGUCUAAUACCGGAUACGACCAAUCUCCGCAUGGGGUGUUGGUGGAAAGCGUUAUGGAGUGGUUUUAGAUGGGCUCACGGCCUAUCAGUUUGUUGGUGAGGUAAUGGCUUACCAAGGCGACGACGGGUAGCCGGCCUGAGAGGGUGACCGGCCACACUGGGACUGAGACACGGCCCAGACUCCUACGGGAGGCAGCAGUGGGGAAUAUUGCACAAUGGGCGCAAGCCUGAUGCAGCGACGCCGCGUGAGGGAUGACGGCCUUCGGGUUGUAAACCUCUGUUAGCAUCGAAGAAGCGAAAGUGACGGUAGGUGCAGAGAAAGCGCCGGCUAACUACGUG
rnacentral:rRNA from 1 species